AGUGAACGCUGGCGGUAGGCCUAACACAUGCAAGUCGAACGGCAGCACAGGAGAGCUUGCUCUCUGGGUGGCGAGUGGCGGACGGGUGAGGAAUACAUCGGAAUCUACUCUGUCGUGGGGGAUAACGUAGGGAAGCUUACGCUAAUACCGCAUACGACCUACGGGUGAAAGCAGGGGACCUUCGGGCCUUGCGCGAUUGAAUGAGCCGAUGUCGGAUUAGCUAGUUGGCGGGGUAAAGGCCCACCAAGGCGACGAUCCGUAGCUGGUCUGAGAGGAUGAGCAGCCACACUGGAACUGAGACACGGUCCAGACUCCUACGGGAGGCAGCAGUGGGGAAUAUUGGACAAUGGGCGCAAGCCUGAUCCAGCCAUACCGCGUGGGUGAAGAAGGCCUUCGGGUUGUAAAGCCCUUUUGUUGGGAAAGAAAUCCAACUGGCUAAUACCCGGUUGGGAUGACGGUACCCAAAGAAUAAGCACCGGCUAACUUCGUGCCAGCCGCCGCAGUAA
rnacentral:rRNA from 1 species